CCUACGGGCGGCAGCAGUGGGGAAUUUUGGACAAUGGGGGCAACCCUGAUCCAGCCAUGCCGCGUGAGUGAAGAAGGCCUUCGGGUUGUAAAGCUCUUUCGGCCGGGAAGAAAUCGCUCAAGCUAAUACCUUGGGUGGAUGACGGUACCGGAAGAAGAAGCACCGGCUAACUCCGUUCCAGCAGCCGCGGUAAUACGUAGGGUGCGAGCGUUGCUCGGAAUUACUGCGCGUAAAGCGAUCACACGCGGGGGAAAUCCCCGGGCUUAACCUGGGAACUGCGUUUGUGACUGUGGUGCUCGAGUGCGGCAGAGGGGGGUGGAAUUCCACGUGUAGCAGUGAAAUGCGUAGAGAUGUGGAGGAACACCGAUGGCGAAGGCAGCCCCCUGGGUCGACACUGACGCUCAUGCACGAAAGCGUGGGGAGCAAACAGGAUUAGAUACCCGUGUAGUC
rnacentral:rRNA from 1 species